GACGAACGCUGGCGGCGUGCUUAACACAUGCAAGUCGAACGAAGUGGCGGAAGGGUGAGUAACGCGUAAUCAACCUGCCCUUCAGAGGGGGACAACAGUUGGAAACGACUGCUAAUACCGCAUACUGAAGGAGGGGAUUGCGUCCGAUUAGCUAGUUGGCGGGGUAACGGCCCACCAAGGCGAUGAGCAGUAGCCGGUCUGAGAGGAUGAACGGCGACAAUGGGACUGAGACACGGCCCAGACUCCUACGGGAGGGAGCCGUGGGGAAUCUUGCGCAAUGGACGAAAGUCUGACGGAGCAACGCCGCGGGAGUGAUGACGGCCUUCGGGUUGUAAAGAUCUGUUAAUCGGGACGCGGUACCGGAAUAGAAAGCCACGGCUAACUACGUGCCAGCAGCCGCGGUAAUAC
rnacentral:rRNA from 1 species